UGCGAGGUUGUGAUGUAAGUACUUGAUUCCAUUCGGUCAUAUUUUUGAUUCAAUCCAGAUCCAAGUUCAUGAUUUGAUCCAAGUUCUGAUGCAUACUUCCUAUCUGAACCAACCUUUUGCUUUAUGUUAUGGAUGUCUUCCGGGAUAGAUGAAGGUUGCAGAACGCGAUGAUAUACCAAUCCUGUCUGAAAAGCUUCCUAUGAUUGCCUGGUUCUAUUUUGUUUUAUCAGAUUUAAGUGUUAAGUUAGACUUCUCAUUGUGUCAUUUGUGUUAAACUACAGGUGGUUGUUGGAUACAAUUUGCUGAGUCGAAUCUGCUAUGUUUAUGCCCAGUUUGUGUUAAUCAUCAAGAAUUUAAUCCCUAUCACUUUUUUACCGUCAUUCUUAUUUAUCAGAGAAGGUACAGGUUUAUUUAUUUUUGCGGAGAAGAGUUACAGGUUUUAUGCUCACAAUAUUUUAUGUACCUAUAUUUUACCCACUUUUCUGUACAUAAUUUGCACAUGAUCGCGUGUUGUAAAAAUUUGUAGUUGAUGGUUUGUAAGCGCGCAUGUUCUGUUGGUGCAGUUUGUGGCUGUCUGAACUUUUUUUAUGAAAGGAAGUUGUG
rnacentral:lncRNA from 1 species